rnacentral:tRNA from 1 species
GGAUAUAGCUCCAUUGGUAGAGUGUUUGUCUUGCAUGCACAAGGCCCUAGGUUCAAUUCCUGGCACCA